AGAGUUUGAUCAUGGCUCAGGAUGAACGCUAGCGGCAGGCCUAACACAUGCAAGUCGAGGGGUAACAUUGGUGCUUGCACCAGAUGACGACCGGCGCACGGGUGCGGAACGCGUAUGGAAUCUGCCUUUGUCAGGGGAAUAGCCUUUAGAAAUGAAGAUUAAUGCCCCAUAGUAUCUUGUUAUUGCAUGAUAGUAAGAUUAAAGAUUUAUCGGACAAAGAUGACCAUGCGUAUCAUUAGCUAGUUGGUAAGGUAACGGCUUACCAAGGCGACGAUGAUUAGGGGCCCUGAGAGGGGGAUCCCCCACACUGGUACUGAGACACGGACCAGACUCCUACGGGAGGCAGCAGUGAGGAAUAUUGGACAAUGGCCGCAAGGUUGAUCCAGCCAUGCCGCGUGCAGGAUGACUGCCCUAUGGGUUGUAAACUGCUUUUAUACAGGAAGAAACCUACUUACGUGUAAGUAGCUGACGGUACUGUAAGAAUAAGGACCGGCUAACUCCGUGCCAGCAGCCGCGGUAAUACGGAGGGUCCGAGCGUUAUCCGGAAUCAUUGGGUUUAAAGGGUCCGUAGGCGGGCUAUUAAGUCAGAGGUGAAAGUUUGUGGCUCAACCAUAAAAUUGCCUUUGAUACUG
rnacentral:rRNA from 1 species